rnacentral:tRNA from 1 species
GGGCCUAUAGCUCAGCUGGUGAGAGCGCACGCCUGAUAAGCGUGAGGUCAGUGGUUCAAAUCCACUUAGGCCCACCA